rnacentral:rRNA from 1 species
AUAGGAGAUAGAAAUUUUAAUUGGAGCUAUAGAGAUAGUAUCAUAAGGGAAUGAUGAAAGACAUUUUAAAAGUAUAAAACAGCAAAGAUUACCCCUUUUACCUUUUGCAUAAUGAAUUAGCCAGAAGCAACUUAACAAAGAGGACUUAAGCUAAGCCCCCCGAAACCAGACGAACUACCUAUGAACAAUCUACAAAGAUAAACUCAUCUAUGUCGCAAAAUAGUGAGAAGAUUUACAGGUAGUGGUGAAAAGCCUAACGAGCCUGGUGAUAGCUGGUUACCCAAAAACAGAACUUUAGUUCAACUUUAAAUUUACCUAAAAAAAAUUAGAAUUUUAAUGUAAAUUUAAAAUAUAAUCUAAAAAGGUACAGCUUUUUAGAAUAAGGAUACAACCUUUCUUAGAGAGUAAAUAUUAAUAUUACCAUAGUUGGCCUAAAAGCAGCACCAACUGAGAAAGCGUUCAAGCUCAACAAUUAAUCUUACUUAAUCCCAACAAUAUUAAAUUAACUCCUAAUGUUAUACUGGGUUAAUCUAUAUAAAUAUAGAAGCAACAAUGCUAGUAUGAGUAACAAGAAUUAUUUCUCCCUGCAUAAGCUUAUAUCAGAAACGGAUAAACCACUGAUAGUUAACAAUAAGAUAAAAUUAAUCCAAAAAUAAAAUACUUAUCAAUCCCAUUGUUAACCCAACACAGGUAUGCACCCAAGGAAAGAUUAAAAGAAGUAAAAGGAACUCAGCAAACAUAGCCCCGCCUGUUUACCAAAAACAUCACCUCCAGCAUUUCCAGUAUUGGAGGCACUGCCUGCCCAGUGACAUCUGUUCAACGGCCGCGGUAUCCUGACCGUGCAAAGGUAGCAUAAUCAUUUGUUCUCUAAAUAAGGACUUGUAUGAAUGACACGAGGGUUUAACUGUCUCUUACUUCCAAGCAGUGAAAUUGACCUUCUCGUGAAGAGGCGGGAAUAAAACAAUAACACGAGAAGACCCUAUGGAACUUUAAUUAAUUAACCCAAAUUCAUGGAUCUUAUUGACCUAUCAGGCAUAACAACAUCACCAUUUUUAUGGGUUAACAAUUUAGGUUGAGGUGACCUCGGAAUAUAAAAAAACUUCUGAGUGAUUAAAAUCUAGACUAACCAGUCAAAAUAUUAUAUCAUUUAUUGAUCCAAUAAUCUUUGAUCAACAGAACAAGUUACCCUAGGGAUAACAGCGCGAUCCUAUUCAAGAGUCCAUAUCGACAAUAGGGUUUACGACCUCGAUGUUAAUCAGGACAUCCUAAUGGUGCAGCAGCUAUUAAAGGUUCAUUUGUUCAACGAUUAAAGUCCUACGUAAUCUGAGUUCAGACCGGAGUAAUCCAGGUUGGUUUCUAUCUAUUUAAUAAUUUCUCCCAGUA